AACGCACGAGACCUGCGGACCUGCGGAGGGAUCAUUACAUGGCGGAGAAGGUGGGCAACCUGGCCAACAUCCAGGUUGUGAUGCCUUCACGCUCUUCCACCCUUGUCUAUUUGCACCUUCUGUCGUUCCCUCGGCGGGUUUCGACCCGCCGGCGGCAACAUUGAAAAACCCUUUUUGCAGUUAGCAUUCAAUUCUUCUGAUCAAAUAUUAAAUCAUUACAACUUUUAACAACGGAUCUCU
rnacentral:misc_RNA from 1 species